AAUGAAAUGAGCGUCUUCGAGUUGGCCCAUCGCCUCACCACGACCUCCGCAUCGAACUUGCCCACCUUGCCCUCCCCGUCGGCGGCGGCAAUUUUGAGGUAGUACUUGAUACCGGACACCACCUGGCUCUGCGCCUCCACCACACGAACAAACGAGAGGAGCGCGCCGCCGCCGUUUGGGAUCCCAAGGCGGACGCUCUUGUUGUGCUCCGCCACCGAGAAGCGGCCGAGGCUCUG
rnacentral:misc_RNA from 1 species